rnacentral:lncRNA from 1 species
CUUGAGCACGAGGUCACCUUCUCGGAACACACGAGGCUUGACCUUCUUAUCGAAUGCUUUCUUCAUUCUCUGCUGAUAUAACUGACCAUGACACAUGGCAGUUGAUCUCUUCUUUUUGAUCGAAUUCAGCAUCAGCCAACUUGGGACUUUGAGGGUGCUAUUUUCUUUUGUUUUCUUUUGAUUUUGCACCCUCUCUUUCUUUGUUUGUUUUUUUUUUUUUAAUGCCCCAGUUGGCUGUUCUGCUGAUUCUCGAGAUGCAGCUGAGUGAUCUUCUUUUCUUGCUCAAGAGGUCGGGAAAUACCGUCAGGAAUCCCUUCAACAUCAUCUUCGUCCGCUUCGAAUACAGGGAAUUCAAAAUUGGGAGAU